GACGAACGCUGGCGGCGUGCUUAACACAUGCAAGUCGAACGGAAAGGCCCUGCUUUUGUGGGGUGCUCGAGUGGCGAACGGGUGAGUAACACGUGAGUAACCUGCCCUUGACUUUGGGAUAACUUCAGGAAACUGGGGCUAAUACCGGAUAGGAGCUCCUGCUGCAUGGUGGGGGUUGGAAAGUUUCGGCGGUUGGGGAUGGACUCGCGGCUUAUCAGCUUGUUGGUGGGGUAGUGGCUUACCAAGGCUUUGACGGGUAGCCGGCCUGAGAGGGUGACCGGCCACAUUGGGACUGAGAUACGGCCCAGACUCCUACGGGAGGCAGCAGUGGGGAAUAUUGCACAAUGGGCGGAAGCCUGAUGCAGCAACGCCGCGUGCGGGAUGACGGCCUUCGGGUUGUAAACCGCUUUCGCCUGUGACGAAGCGUGAGUGACGGUAAUGGGUAAGAAGCACCGGCUAACUACGUGCCAGCAGCCGCGGUGAUACGUAGGGUGCGAGCGUUGUCCGGAUUUAUUGGGCGUAAAGGGCUCGUAGGUGGUUGAUCGCGUCGGAAGUGUAAUCUUGGGGCUUAACCCUGAGCGUGCUUUCGAUACGGGUUGACUUGAGGAAGGUAGGGGAGAAUGGAAUUCCUGGUGGAGCGGUGGAAUGCGCAGAUAUCAGGAGGAACACCAGUGGCGAAGGCGGUUCUCUGGGCCUUUCCUGACGCUGAGGAGCGAAAGCGUGGGGAGCGAACAGGCUUAGAUACCCUGGUAGUCCACGCUGUAAACGGUGGGUACUAGGUGUGGGGUCCAUUCCACGGGUUCCGUGCCGUAGCUAACGCUUUAAGUACCCCGCCUGGGGAGUACGGCCGCAAGGCCAAAACUCAAAGGAAUUGACGGGGCCCCGCACAAGCGGCGGAGCAUGCGGAUUAAUUCGAUGCAACGCGUAGAACCUUACCUGGGUUUGACAUGGAUCGGGAGUGCUCAGAGAUGGGUGUGCCUCUUUUGGGGUCGGUUCACAGGUGGUGCAUGGCUGUCGUCAGCUCGUGUCGUGAGAUGUUGGGUUAAGUCCCGCAACGAGCGCAACCCUUGUUCACUGUUGCCAGCACGUUAUGGUGGGGACUCAGUGGAGACCGCCGGGGUCAACUCGGAGGAAGGUGGGGAUGACGUCAAGUCAUCAUGCCCCUUAUGUCCAGGGCUUCACGCAUGCUACAAUGGCUGGUACAGAGAGUGGCGAGCCUGUGAGGGUGAGCGAAUCUCGGAAAGCCGGUCUCAGUUCGGAUUGGGGUCUGCAACUCGACCUCAUGAAGUCGGAGUCGCUAGUAAUCGCAGAUCAGCAACGCUGCGGUGAAUACGUUCCCGGG
rnacentral:rRNA from 1 species